rnacentral:rRNA from 1 species
UAGGGAAUCUUCGGCAAUGGGGGCAACCCUGACCGAGCAACGCCGCGUGAGUGAAGAAGGUUUUCGGAUCGUAAAGCUCUGUUGUAAGAGAAGAACGUGUGUGAGAGUGGAAAGUUCACACAGUGACGGUAACUUACCAGAAAGGGACGGCUAACUACGUGCCAGCAGCCGCGGUAAUACGUAGGUCCCGAGCGUUGUCCGGAUUUAUUGGGCGUAAAGCGAGCGCAGGCGGUUUAAUAAGUCUGAAGUUAAAGGCAGUGGCUUAACCAUUGUUCGCUUUGGAAACUGUUAAACUUGAGUGCAGAAGGGGAGAGUGGAAUUCCAUGUGUAGCGGUGAAAUGCGUAGAUAUAUGGAGGAACACCGGUGGCGAAAGCGGGUCUCUGGUCUGUAACUGACGCUGAGGCUCGAAAGCGUGGGGAGCAAACAGG